rnacentral:lncRNA from 1 species
GGUGGGACGCUGGUGUCGGGGCUACAUCGACCCGCACGCUACCUCGAACAGCUCUUCCCUUCCGAGACAAAGUCAUCACGACAAGUUGAUUUCGGCAUCGCGUUUUACUACACAAUUUCUAUUACACUUAAAAAAAAAAAACCUGAUUCUUGUCUAAACCAAAACCAAAACACAAAAUGUUUCACACUCAAACGAUAUUCCACGAAGCAACAGUUCUGGAAACUAAAAAUCACAGGUGUAAAAGAACCGUUAAACAAGAAAAAAACAAUUCUCAUAUACUGUAUACCCAGCAAAAAAAAAGAAAUAUGUAGCCCAUGUGUUUGUCUAUAAAGUUUAAGUGUAGGCUUACAGGCAGUGUACAGAAACGAUCAGCAGCAAAGGAUCUUCUGAAAUAAUUGAAAUCCUUUAUCUGCAUCAUACAUACAGAGUGCUAAAAACUAGAAGUUCCUUUGUUUUGAGAGGCAGGUAGGCUAGCAAACCCCAGAUUCGCUGAGGCUGUGAUGUGAUGUCAUGUGAUUUGGUGGGAUGGCAGACCAGCGUUUUCCCGUUCUCUUAGGGUACUGGCUCCAGUUGCUUUCUUAUUCCAGUUCCGUUUACAGGUCAGGCAGCAUCACGAGCACUGCAAUUAUGGGACAGAAUGAAAUCUUCUGCCCUUGGAUCUCAUGGGCUCCCGAUAUCUCUCCAGCCCAGAACAGGAGCCGGACUAUCAGCCCAGGGAGAGGGCUGGAAAAAGAUGAGCUCCCUCAAGGUUGGAUUGGGCCCUCCUGCGUGGAUCUGAAGCUGCUGUGGCCAUAGCUCGUCUGUUCAUCACAACCGGGAGAGACAGGGAGGAGGGAGGAGAGGAGGAAGAAGGAGAGAGGGAUGGGGACGAGUCUCUGAACAAAUGUUUGCAUCCUCUCCCACACCUGUAAAAAAAACUGGAGAGAGAAAAGGAGGUUAGUACACUAAAAACACUCUAGACACUGCAGGACAUUAACAACGACAGACCAGAUACAGCUCCUCUAGGCUGAUUAGGUAGCAGGCAAUUGAUCCAAGACUCUCGUCUAGCUGUUUCCUGAAGGAAGGCACAGUAUCAUCUUCAACAGUGUGAGUGGGUAGCUUGUUCCACUCUCC